rnacentral:lncRNA from 1 species
AGCUCGUUACUCCACCAGCUACAGGGAAUCGGCAGACAGAGGGCUGAGCCUCCACUAGAGGACUGUCGGUGACGUCGUGCGGCGCUCCUGGCUGGAGUCAGCGCGGGCCCUGGAGUGGAACACCUCGGCGCCUUCGAGCCGGCAUCGGCUGUAGGAAACGCCAGGUGCCGAGGGACAGCCACGGGACAGAAACCCCCCGGAGGGCGGCAGGACUGCCAGGGC